UGGAAGGUUAAGGGGAUGUGUCAGCGCAAGCGAAGCACUGAACCGAAGCCCCAGUAAACGGCGGCCGUAACAAUAACGGUCCUAAGGUAGCGAAAUUCCUUGUCGGGUAAGUUCCGACCUGCACGAAUGGCAUAACGACAUCCCCGCUGUCUCGACCACGGACUCAGCGAAAUUGUAUUGGGGGUGAAGAUACCCUCUACCCGCGGCAAGACGGAAAGACCCCAUGAACCUUCACUGCAACUUGACAGUGAUUUUCGGGAUAUUCUGCGUAGGAUAGGUGGGAGGCUGUGAGACUGGGCUUCUGGGCUCAGUGGAGCCAACGUUGAAAUACCACCCUGAAUGUUCUGGGAAUCUAACCUGGGCGAGUGAACCCUCGCCGGGGACACUGUCUGGUGGGCAGUUUGACUGGGGCGGUCGCCUCCCAAAACGUAACGGAGGCGUGCGAAGGUUCCCUCAGGCCGAUUGGAAACCGGCCGUAGAGUGCAAACGCACAAGGGAGCUUAACUGCGAGACCGACAGGUCGAGCAGGUGCGAAAGCAGGC
rnacentral:rRNA from 1 species